rnacentral:lncRNA from 1 species
GGUCAAUUGACAAUUUUGGUCAUUUUGACUUAAAUGAAGAUCUUACUUUGCUGAACAUUAUUGCUGUUUACAGUUUAUUUCUAUCUAUAAUUAUAUUCAAGAUAAUAAACAAAAACAGCAAAAUUUCCUUAAAAUUAUCAAUUCAGGGGCAGCAACCCAACAACAGGUUGUCUGAUUCAUCUGAAAAUUUCAGGGCAGAUUAAUCUUGACCUGAUAAACAAUAUUACC